UGUUUUGCUCGCAAAGUGUGCAAAGAAGGUGAAUAUUAUGAAGACAUGAUGCGUUACUUGCGAAAGAAUCUGGCGCUAUUCCCCUAUCACCUUGCAGAAUAUGUUUGCCGUGUGAUGAGGAUAUCAGCUUUUAGAUAUUACUGUGAUAUGAUAUUCGAGGUCAUGAAAAAUGAGCAACCAUACGACAGCAUCCCGAAUUUUAGCGCUGCAGAUGCCUUACGGCUUACUGGAAUUGGGAGAAAUGAAUUUAUUGAUAUCAUGAACAAGUGCAGAUCUAAGAAAAUUAUGUGGAAGCUGAACAAGUCCAUUGCAAAAGAACUUUUACCUACACAACCUGUGGACUUUGCAAUUGAACCGUGGUGGGGAGUCUGUCUUGUCAACUUUACCCUGGAAGAAUUUAAGAAACUCUCAGAAGAAGAGACGGCAACAAUAGAUAAAGUUUGUAAGGAGG
rnacentral:misc_RNA from 1 species